rnacentral:rRNA from 1 species
ACGUAGGUCCCGAGCGUUGUCCGGAUUUAUUGGGCGUAAAGCGAGCGCAGGUGGUUUAAUAAGUCUGAUGUAAAAGGCAGUGGCUCAACCAUUGUGUGCAUUGGAAACUGUUAGACUUGAGUGCAGUAGAGGAGAGUGGAAUUCCAUGUGUAGCGGUGAAAUGCGUAGAUAUAUGGAGGAACACCGGUGGCGAAAGCGGCUCUCUGGACUGUAACUGACACUGAGGCUCGAAAGCGUGGGUAGCAAACAG